rnacentral:rRNA from 1 species
UACGUAGGGUGCGAGCGUUGUCCGGAAUUAUUGGGCGUAAAGAGCUCGUAGGCGGCUUGUCGCGUCGGAUGUGAAAGCCCGGGGCUUAACUCCGGGUCUGCAUCCGAUACUGUCAUGGCUAGAGUCCGGUAGGGGCCCACGGAACUCCUGGUGUAGCGGUGAAAUGCGCAGAUAUCAGGAAGAACACCGGUGGCGAAGGCGGUGGGCUGGGCCGGCACUGACGCUGAGGAGCGAAAGCGUGGGGAGCGAACAGG